rnacentral:rRNA from 1 species
AUUGAACGCUGGCGGCAUGCCUUACACAUGCAAGUCGAACGGUAACGGGUCCUUCGGGAUGCCGACGAGUGGCGAACGGGUGAGUAAUAUAUCGGAACGUGCCCAGUAGUGGGGGAUAACUGCUCGAAAGAGCAGCUAAUACCGCAUACGACCUGAGGGUGAAAGGGGGGGAUCGCAAGACCUCUCGCUAUUGGAGCGGCCGAUAUCAGAUUAGCUAGUUGGUGGGGUAAAGGCCUACCAAGGCAACGAUCUGUAGUUGGUCUGAGAGGACGACCAGCCACACUGGGACUGAGACACGGCCCAGACUCCUACGGGAGGCAGCAGUGGGGAAUUUUGGACAAUGGGCGCAAGCCUGAUCCAGCAAUGCCGCGUGCAGGAAGAAGGCCUUCGGGUUGUAAACUGCUUUUGUCAGGGAAGAAAUCUUCUGGGCUAAUACCCCGGGAGGAUGACGGUACCUGAAGAAUAAGCACCGGCUAACUACGUGCCAGCCGCCGCAGUAAAAC